rnacentral:rRNA from 1 species
UCCCAGACUCCUACGGGAGGCAGCAGUGGGGGAUAUUGCACAAUGGGGGGAACCCUGAUGCAGCGACGCCGCGUGGGUGAAGGAGUGCUUCGGCAUGUAAAGCCCUAUCGGCAGGGAAGAAGCAAGACGGUACCUGACUAAGAAGCCCCGGCUAACUACGUGCCAGCAGCCGCGGGAAUACGUAGGGGGCGAGCGUUAUCCGGAUUCACUGGGUGUAAAGGGAGCGUAGACGGCGACGCAAGUCUGGAGUGAAAGCCCGGGGCCCAACCCCGGGACUGCUCUGGAAACUGCGUCGCUGGAGUACGGGAGGGGCAGGCGGAAUUCCUGGUGUAGCGGUGAAAUGCGUAGAUAUCAGGAGGAACACCGGCGGCGAAGGCGGCCUGCUGGACCGUGACUGACGUUGAGGCUCGAGAGCGUGGGGAGCGAACAGGAUUAGAUACCCCUGUA